rnacentral:tRNA from 1 species
GGACCCGUAGCUCAGCCAGGAUAGAGCGCUGGCCUUCUAAGCCAGUGGUCGGGGGUUCAAAUCCCCCCGGGUCCG